UGAUUUUGGAACAAUUACACUUCAGACCCUUAGUUUUCAUUAAAUUCUUUAACAACUUUUUAAAAUGAAGGGCACAAAGGGCAACUUAUACAAUACUAUAAGCUGCAAUGUGUGACUUUUUAUUUUACAAAGAGCAAAGUGCAAUUUUUACAAAAUUAUAAGGUGCAAAGUGUCACUUUUAAUUUUACAGGGCCAAAAUGUGACUUCAAUAAAACCACUAAUGCAAAGCACCAUUACCCAUUGAAGCAUCUAACAAUGUUUGUCACUUGUGUUAUGAAAAUCUCAGGCCAACAAUGUUGAUUUUUACAUGAAUGGGCAUGACCAUUGCCUUGAACACAUUAGUGACCCCAAAAGCCCCAUCCAAUUCCUAACUAGUGGAGCAGGGUCAAAGGCAUGGAGGGGAGAUGUUAAAAAAAAGAAUAGAGAAGGUUUAAACUUCUUCUAUGAUGGGCAAGGCAUCAUGUCUGUGUAGUUGACACAAACUGAAUCAACCAUUGUGUUCUAUGAUGUUUUUGGCCAAGUAUUGCAUAGAUGGGAUGUGUCCAAGCAACUUCACCUAGCCAUAUAGAGAUUUUAACAAAUUCUUCGGUCUGCUGCUACGAUUGUUUUAGUAAUCGCUAAAUGUGUAGCUAAAUUUUAUGGUCGUCUUCAACAAUGGUAUCUAGCUUUUGGUGAAUGCCGACAACUAGAAAUUAAACAGUUACCUUGUGACUAUCUCGUUGAUGUCAUUGAUGUCGUCCAUAAUGAGUUUCUUUGUCGCGUUGAUCA